AACGAACGCUGGCGGCAGGCUUAACACAUGCAAGUCGAACGCAUCCUUCGGGGUGAGUGGCAGACGGGUGAGUAACGCGUGGGAACGUGCCCUUCAGUUCGGGAUAACCAGGGAAACUUGGGCUAAUACCGGAUACGUGCGAGAGCAGAAGGAUUUAUCGCUGAAGGAUCGGCCCGCGUCUGAUUAGCUAGUUGGUGGGGUAAUGGCCCACCAAGGCGACGAGCAGUAGCUGGUCUGAGAGGAUGAUCAGCCACAUUGGGACUGAGACACGGCCCAAACUCCUACGGGAGGCAGCAGUGGGGAAUAUUGGACCGUGGGCGCAAGCCUGAUCCAGCCAUGCCGCGUGAGUGAUGAAGGCCUUAGGGUUGUAAAGCUCUUUCGUCCGGGACGAUAAUGACGGUACCGGAAGAAGAAGCCCCGGCUAACUUCGUGCCAGCCGCCGCGGUAA
rnacentral:rRNA from 1 species